GCCAGACUCCUACGGGAGGCAGCAGUGAGGAAUAUUGGUCAAUGGGCUUACGCCUGAACCAGCCAAGUCGCGUGAGGGAAGACUGCCCUAUGGGUUGUAAACCUCUUUUGUCAGGGAGCAACGCCGGCUACGUGUAGCCGGACUGAGAGUACCUGAAGAAAAAGCAUCGGCUAACUCCGUGCCAGCAGCCGCGGUAAUACGGAGGAUGCGAGCGUUAUCCGGAUUUAUUGGGUUUAAAGGGUGCGCAGGCGGCCUGUUAAGUCAGCGGUAAAAGCCCGGGGCUCAACCCCGUCGUGCCGUUGAAACUGACGCCCUUGAGUGAGUGAGAAGUAAGCGGAAUGCGUGGUGUAGCGGUGAAAUGCAUAGAUAUCACGCAGAACUCCGAUUGCGAAGGCAGCAUACCGGCGCCCAACUGACGCUCAGGCACGAAAGCGUGGGUAUCGAACAGGAUUAGAUACCCCAGUA
rnacentral:rRNA from 1 species